CUCAUAGCGGUAGAACCUCCACUAUGACUCACUGUGGUUCUAAAGGUCCCCUCAUAGCGGUAGAACCUCCUCCAUGACUCACUGUGGUUCUAAAGGUCCCCUCAUAGCGGUAGAACCUCCUCCAUGACUCACUGUGGUUCUAAAGGUCCCCUCAUAGCGGUGGAGCCUCCUCCAUGACUCACUGUGGUUCUAAAGGUCCCCUCAUAGCGGUGGAGCCUCCUCCAUGACUCACUGUGGUUCUAAAGGUUCCCAUGCAGCGGUGGAGCCUCCACCAUGACUCACUGUGGUUCUAAAGGUUCCCUCAUAGCGGUGGAGCCUCCACCAUGACUCACUGUGGUUCUAAAGGUUCCCUCAUAGCGGUGGAGCCUCCACCAUGACUCACUGUGGUUCUAAAGGUUCUAAAGGUUCCCAUGCAGCGGUGGAACCUCCUCACUGCUCCUCUUAUCAGCAGCUUGGCCGUCCAUGUGUACCCUGGCCUUUCC
ensembl:lncRNA